ACUUGAUUAUGGCUCAGUUGGUAGAGAAUUGCGUUGCCUGCGCAAAGGUCGUGGGUUCAAAUCCUAGGGAAAGUA